GCCAGCAUGGUGUAAUGGUUUGAGUGUUGGACUAGGACUCUGGAGACCAGGGUUCGAAUCCCCACUCAGCCA